CACCUACGGGAGGCUGCAGUCGAGAAUCUUUAUCAAUGGGCGAAAGCCUGAAUAUGCGACGCCGCGUGCGGGAUGAAGGCCCUAGGGUUGUAAACCGCUGUCAGGGGUUAGGAAUCGCGAGGGUGUGAACAACACCUUUGCCUGACCAACCCCAGAGGAAGCCAUGGCUAACUCCGUGCCAGCAGCCGCGGUAACACGGAGAUGGCAAGCGUUGUUCGGAAUUACUGGGCAUAGAGCGCGCGUAGGCGGUUCCGCAAGUCAGAUGUGAAAUCCCCCGGCUCAACCGAGGAAUUGCGUUUGAAACUGCGGGGCUGGAGUGCAGAAGAGGAGAGCGGAAUUCCUGGUGGAGCGGUGAAAUGCGUAGAUAUCAGGAAGAACGCCGGAGGCGAAAGCGGCUCUCUGGUCUGUAACUGACGCUGAGGCGCGAAAGCCAAGGGAGCAAACAGGAUUAGAUACCCUGGUAGUCUUGGCUGUAAACGAUGGGCACUAAGUAGAGGAGACUCCGAUGUUUUCUCUGCCGGAGCAAAUGUAUUAAGUGCCCCGCCUGGGGAGUAUGACCGCAAGGUUAAAACUCAAAGGAAUUGACGGGGGCUCACACAAGCGGUGGAG
rnacentral:rRNA from 1 species